rnacentral:rRNA from 1 species
GAUGAACGCUGGCGGCGUGCCUAAUACAUGCAAGUCGAGCGAACAGACCAGGAACUUGUUCCUCUGACGUUAGCGGGGGACGGGCGCGUAACACUUGGACAUAUUCCAUCUAAGCCUGGGUUAACUUUGGGCUACCGGAGCUAAUACCGGUUAAUAUUUAUAUCCGCCUGGUUCAAUAGUGUAGGAUGGUAUUUCUGUCACUUAUAGAUGGGGCUGCGUCGCAUUAGCUUGUUGGCAAGGUAACGGCCUACCAAGGCAACGAUGCGUAGCCGAUCUGAGAGGGUGAGCGGCCACACUGGAACGGAGACGCGGCCCAGACUCCAACGGUAGGCAGCGGUAGAGAAACGUCCGCAAUGGGCGGAGGCCGAGCGUGAAAAAGCCGCGUGGGUGAUAGAGAGCUUGGGAUCUGAGAACUCAGCUAUUUGGGAAAGGGAAAAGAGUAAGUAACUAUGCACUUCUUGAAGGUACCUAAUCAGAAAGCCACGGCUAACUACGUG